rnacentral:rRNA from 1 species
AUUGAACGCUGGCGGCAUGCUUUACACAUGCAAGUCGAACGGUAACAGCACUUCGGUGGCUGACGAGUGGCGAACGGGUGAGUAAUACAUCGGAACGUGCCUAGUAGUGGGGGAUAACUACUCGAAAGAGUAGCUAAUACCGCAUGAGAUCUAAGGAUGAAAGCAGUGGACCUUCGGGCCUUGCGCUACUAGAGCGGCUGAUGGCAGAUUAGGUAGUUGGUGGGGUAAAAGCUUACCAAGCCGACGAUCUGUAGCUGGUCUGAGAGGACGACCAGCCACACUGGGACUGAGACACGGCCCAGACUCCUACGGGAGGCAGCAGUGGGGAAUUUUGGACAAUGGGCGCAAGCCUGAUCCAGCAAUGCCGCGUGCAGGAUGAAGGCCUUCGGGUUGUAAACUGCCUUUGUACGGAACGAAAAGCCCUCUUCUAAUACAGGAGGGUCAUGACGGUACCGUAAGAAUAAGCACCGGCUAACUACGUG